UACGGAGGGUGCAAGCGUUAAUCGGAAUUACUGGGCGUAAAGCGCGCGUAGGCGGUUACGUAAGUCGGAUGUGAAAGCCCCGGGCUUAACCUGGGAAUUGCAUUCGAUACUGCGUGACUAGAGUUUGGUAGAGGCUAGCGGAAUUCCAGGUGUAGCGGUGAAAUGCGUAGAUAUCUGGAGGAACAUCAGUGGCGAAGGCGGCUGGCUGGACCAAAACUGACGCUGAGGUGCGAAAGCGUGGGGAGCAAACAGG
rnacentral:rRNA from 1 species